rnacentral:lncRNA from 1 species
AUAGCAGAUGGAAGCAGACAUUUGAGGUUCACUACUAAAGCAUUAUGCUAUGUAUUUUCAACAUUUCAAUAUCCAAAAGUAAAGACAAAGGGACCAUUAAACAUAUUAUAGAAAAAAAUAACAUAUCAAUAUAUUAUACCGAAACUCCUAGGCAAAAAAUAUCACAGACAAAAAUAUCAAUACUAAAAUAAUUAUUCCAUAAAUAAUAUAUAG